rnacentral:tmRNA from 1 species
GGGGGUGACCGGCUUUGACAGCAUGUAGAAGCGGUAGAUAAGCAUGCAGAGUUUUGAUGUUGAAACUCUAUAAUCGCAACAGCAUCAAACUAUAAUUGGCGAAAAUAACAAUUACGCUCUCGCUGCGUAAGCUGAAGUACAGUAGGCUUCCUUAAUUCAUCGCCAAAGGAUGCGAUGAACGAGACAUCAGCCCAUUGCCCGGUUCCGAGACGUUUGGAUAAGCUGGUGCUAAGAAAUUCGGAAAUAGGGGAGAAGGUGCCUUGACUUCUUCCCGAAAAAUAAAGGAUAAGGUUAUGAUUGGUUGUCGUGAGCCUGUCAUGACUCGAAAAUCAAGUCAAUGACUAAGCAUGUAGAAAGUCUAUUGAUUCCAUGUUUGGACGAGGGUUCAAACCCCUCCACCUCCACAU